AACGAACGCUGGCGGCAUGCCUAACACAUGCAAGUCGAACGAGACCUUCGGGUCUAGUGGCGCACGGGUGCGUAACGCGUGGGAACCUGCCCUUAGGUUCGGAAUAACUCCCCGAAAGGGGUGCUAAUACCGGAUAAUGUCUUCGGACCAAAGAUUUAUCGCCUUUGGAUGGGCCCCCGUUGGAUUAGCUAGUUGGUAGGGUAAAAGCCUACCAAGGCGACGAUCCAUAGCUGGUCUGAGAGGAUGAUCAGCCACACUGGGACUGAGACACGGCCCAGACUACUACGGGAGGCAGCAGUGGGGAAUAUUGGACAAUGGGCGGAAGCCUGAUCCAGCAAUGCCGCGUGAGUGAUGAAGGCCUGAGGGUUGUAAAGCUCUUUUACCCGGGAUGAUAAUGACAGUACCGGGAGAAUAAGCUCCGGCUAACUCCGUG
rnacentral:rRNA from 1 species